AUUGAACGCUGGCGGCAGGCCUAACACAUGCAAGUCGAACGGUAACAGGAAACAGCUUGCUGUUUCGCUGACGAGUGGCGGACGGGUGAGUAAUGUCUGGGAAACUGCCUGAUGGAGGGGGAUAACUACUGGAAACGGUAGCUAAUACCGCAUAACGUCGCAAGACCAAAGAGGGGGACCUUCGGGCCUCUUGCCAUCGGAUUUGCCCAGAUGGGAUUAGCUAGUAGGUGGGGUAACGGCUCACCUAGGCGACGAUCCCUAGCUGGUCUGAGGGGAUGACCAGGCACACUGGAACUGAGACACGGUCCAGACUCCUACGGGAGGCAGCAGGGGGGAAUAUUGCACAAUGGGCGCAAGCCUGAUGCAGCCAUGCCGCGUGUAUGAAGAAGGCCUUCGGGUUGUAAAGUACUUUCAGCGGGGAGGAAGGGAGUAAAGUUAAUACCUUUGCUCAUUGACGUUACCCGCAGAAGAAGCACCGGCUAACUCCGUGCCAGCCGCCGCGGUAA
rnacentral:rRNA from 1 species